rnacentral:rRNA from 2 species
AACUUUCAACAACGGAUCUCUUGGCUCUCGCAUCGAUGAAGAACGCAGCGAAAUGCGAUAAGUAAUGUGAAUUGCAGAAUUCAGUGAAUCAUCGAAUCUUUGAACGCACCUUGCGCCCCUUGGCAUUCCGAGGGGCAUGCCUGUUUGAGUGUCA